GCCCACCCGGCGCGCGGCGGCGGCGGCGCUGAGGGGAGGCGGGCGGCAGGUAGAAAAGAGGCGCUUUAUUGGUGAGGUCAGUCUUGUCCCAGCGUCCCCCGGAAAGGACGAAGCGUUUCUGCCGGUUGCGCCCGUUCUGGCCGUCCGGCAGCACCGGGAGGUCUGGCACACCACAGCGGGGUGGGUUCCAGCCUGCUGCCUGCUCAUCUGCACCCAUGGGGAAGCUCUUGGCGGCCACCCCAGUCCCUACCAGGGAUGAAAGCCAGGGACUCUGCUCCUUCCAGGUGUGAUGUUUUCGAGACAUGUCCUGGAAGGGAAAAACAAAGCUGUCACUUCUGUGUCUUGGAUAUGAGAGGUCUUGAUGGAGGAAUGAACAUCUACCAACAGCAGACCUGCAGAGCUGUCUCAGUACUCAAAUUCUGUGACACAACAUACAUCUCUCCAGCUCUGAUGGGGCCAGAUGAACAUCAGCCAAACUUCCCAGGAAGUGUCCCAGCCAUCCCAAGGAGCCAGGAGCAUCUUCAACCUCAUUGUGUUGGGCAGCAUUCAUCCCCCAGAAAGGAGAAGCAGCCAGAGCAGCACAGCUACAAUGGGUGUAUAAAAAACCUCAAGAGCAAGGCCACCGCCAGGUACAGACAACUUCGGUGCUCUCCUCUGACUGGGUCCAUCCUCUGCUGCCUGCCCUGAACUUAAACUUGUCUUCUCUGUCACACACCUAAUUACCUCCACGGCUGGGCUCCUGCUGACUCCUGCAGCACAGACAUGAAAGGAGACCCCCCUCCCUGUCAGAUGGGAGGUACUGGACAAGCUACAGCUUGAAUUCCAUCAGUCUUGGAUACUUCCCCUGUCGCUGAGGGCUGUUUUCUUUUCUGCUCUGGGAUGAGUAGAUGGGCUUUCUCCCCACCUCCUUGCCCCUUCUGAUGCUUUUCUAUUUCUCCUUGUUUUCUUCUUCUGUUACUCAGAGUAUUUGGUGUGGCCCUAGUAUUUGCUCUCCCUUUGGCUAGUAGGAUUAUCCUCCUCCCAUCCACCUUGGAGCACUCCUUCCCUUAGUUCAAUGUGCAGAGAAGAAGAGCAGAUACGAUUUCCCCUGUGGCUCUCAUGUACAACAGUUCCAGCAUGUCUUUUCUGCUGCCAGGCAGCUGUGCCCCCUCAGUGGCUGUGCACUGCUGAGCAGGCUCUUGGUGAUGGUCUUGCUGGACAUCAGCACUGGUUUCCUCAGGCACAGAGCACUGUGCCCAGUAUUUUGGCCAGCCUGCUUCUCAUCCCAGCACGGGUCUGCAGGGUUGGAUUGGAAGUGCACCUGCAGCUGUUAGCACUGAAACCGGGGUCACCCUGCUCUGGAGUAGAGAGUGGAGGCAGACCAUAAGCGCAGCACUGGAUGGUCACAAAGGUGUGAAUGCUGUAGCUGAAAGUCCACAGCAGAAACAUCUUUUUUGUGCUGCUGAAGGCACAGUUAAUGGAAAUGCUGCAGAAGAAGCGUGUAAGCAAAGUCAACAGAUUAUUGGUCCUCCUCCCUGAACAAGUCUCUCUCCCAACCCUUUUGAAUUCUUUACUUACACCAAACACAUCUAUAACAGGACUGGCUCCUUCAAGCUGCGCUGCAGCUCUGUCCUACUGCACACAGAGCAGAGGGAAUGGAAAGGAAAAGGCCAACCUUUGGCCAAACGAGGUCAAAUGGGAGGUGCUGCAGUUCCUGGCCUUCACACAGUUGGAGGUUCCUCUCUGCUCGCUCCCAUAGUUCACAGCACCACCAAGCACGACCUCCUGGGGCCUGACGGUUUGUUUCCGGAUAAUUUGGUGAUAGUUGUUGUUGGCAGCGAAAGAAGGAAAAUGUUUAUUUUUCCUAAGCAACACAGAACACGAAACAUUAUAGACUGCAAAUGUUUAUGCCCACAGUCAGAAUGAAAAGGCUCAGGCUCUGAUGUAACAACAGAAAGCAAAUGAAUAAACACUGCAGGACUAUUUUUGUUAUCAGGCGCUUUAAUUACAUAACAGUUUGUGAGUCUGGUCCAUCAUUAACUCUGCAGCCAUGCUGCUGGUGUCACCCAAGCAACAGUUUGCCAGAAGCAGCAGUACUUAGAAAGCAAACAAGCCUCGGGAUGCCAGGACAGUGGAAGGUUUCAAGAGCCCUUAGGCUGAUGACCUAGAAAUCCCCUUGAAGACAAGAAACCAAUCUAGGAUGCAGUGCUCUCCAGCCAGAGGAGGAAGGGCUGAGAUCUUUUUGUUCACUGUGCAUUUACAUCCAAGCUGAGGUGAGUGAUGAGCGACUGGUGCUCAACCCAGGGACAACAGCCAGGACACCUCUCACUGGUACAGCCACCAGGCACAGUGCAGCCCUCUGCAGGGCUAUGGGGGAUGUUCUGCCUUCAGGGAAUGCAGGCAGGAAUCUCCAAACCCACAAGACAGCACUGUCCCCCUGCCUGAUGUGCUGGAGACAUCCAGUGGACUUUCUCCCUCCACUAAUUUUCAGAGCCACUUAAGUGAGAUGGUGUGAGAUUGUGAUGCCUCUCUGCUUAACCCCACUGUCCACAAGGAGGACAGCUACAAGCAGACUCAGCAUGAAAAGUUUUCCACAGAAGCCCCAUUUUGAACAACACCUUUGCCCUGCUUCUACGAACCCCUCUGAGCUGUGGGCCAGGGCAGACUGCACCCAGGGGAGCGAGUAAAAGUGAGCGUGUGCUGCAG